AUUAAAGCAAUUGUUACACUAAAAGUCUUAUGUUGUAAGAUAGUGAAUACAUUUCGAUGUUUAUGUGAAAUAUGUUGAUGAUAUCUAUGCAUAGGUGCUAAACUUAUGAAUCGCCUGUUUGAAUAUGGAUGGGAGUAUUUGAGGCCUUGUUAACAUAAUUUGUCCUAGUGUUUUUGAAAAUGGCCCAAACUGUACAACAUCAUGCAGAAAUGGUUGUAGCACUGGAUCCAAAACCUCUGCAAAUGCGAAAUAAGUAUCAUCAAUUGUUGAUUGCAAAAAAUGGAGGUUUGUUCAAAUUCCACUAUGUAACAAUGUUAUAGCCAUUAUUUCGCAUUUGCAAUUAUUAUACAAAAAGUCUUAUGUUGUAAUCAUGAGGAUUUGCAAUGGUCAUUGGAGUCUUCCUGGUUUUCUAACCAUGACAAAGAUGAUUAAUCAUCAAGUCUAUUUGUUAGAUUAAUAAGUACUACUAGAUACAUAAACAUUCAAAGAAAUGUACCGUACCGACACUUUUUCUCCAUGCGCCUUCAACAUAUAAUAAACUUAUGUAUUUCCAUGAUAUUUAGCAUCAACAGCUGCUUGCAAAAUGCAAAAUUAUAAAUUCAUACAUCACACAUUCAUAAAUAAAAACUUAAAAUCAACUUUAAAAUGUCUUCCCUCUCUUAUUAUCUUAUCCAAACAAUAUAGAUUUAUAAGGAAAUAGUGGCCUGAUAGACUGUUUUUCCCCAAAUUUUGGUGAAGAGGAACUUAACUAACACUGAUGGUUGCUUCAUGCUAUUUGGAGGAAUGAGCAUUACCACUCAAAAUCAUCACCAAUAGAAGCAAGCUUCAGUUAGAGAACUUCCACAUAAUAUUUCAGACGCAGAAAAACCAAACAAAACCCUUAUUUGAUGAAUUGAGAGAUUACUAUUACCUAAUCUUCAUCAUAGCCUGAAGAUUCCAGGUCGGCUACAAAUUCUCUUGACUUCUCAAACAAACCCCUUCUAACAUAUAUCAUCAGCAAGGUUGUCAAAAUAACCUAUAUAAAGCCACAUGUAUGAUAAACUACUUGGCACAAAUUUUCUUUUGAAAUUUUGUAUAAAGACAAGGAAAACAAACCUUGUUUGGUACUAACCCUUCUGAUUUCAUAUCUUCAAUCAACACAUCAACUUUUAGGGUUUGUUUGAGAAGAUUAGGUUUCAGCAGCAACAUGGAUUGAAGUAAUCAAAGCAUUGACUUACCCGCUUGAAUCCCGAAUCCAUACUACCUGAAAGAACAACAACAAAAAGUUAGAUACGAAAUGGCAAGACAAAGACAUCAGUAGCUUUGAGAAGAUACAAAAUUGCAUCUGUAGGAUCGAGUUCGAUAACUUUAUCGACUUCGGUUAGGGAUUCAUUAGCAAGGUGUUACUGGGUAAGGAUCAAGAUUUGUUG
rnacentral:lncRNA from 1 species